rnacentral:misc_RNA from 1 species
AACGAGGCCGACCUGCGGCUGAGUUACCUGCGGAAGGAUCAUUACCGAGUUUACAACUCCCAAACCCCUGUGAACAUACCAAUUGUUGCCUCGGCGGAUCAGCCCGCUCCCGGUAAAACGGGACGGCCCGCCAGAGGACCCCUAAACUCUGUUUCUAUAUGUAACUUCUGAGUAAAACCAUAAAUAAAUCAAAACUUUCAGCAACGGAUCU